rnacentral:rRNA from 1 species
UACGUAGGGUGCAAGCGUUGUCCGGAAUUAUUGGGCGUAAAGAGCUUGUAGGCGGUUUGUCGCGUCUGCUGUGAAAUUUCGGGGCUCAACCCCGAACUUGCAGUGGGUACGGGCAGACUAGAGUGUGGUAGGGGAGACUGGAAUUCCUGGUGUAGCGGUGAAAUGCGCAGAUAUCAGGAAGAACACCCGUGGCGAAAGCGGCUCUCUGGGACGGUACUGACGCUGAGACGCGAAAGCGUGGGGAGCGAACAGG